UACGAAGGGGGCUAGCGUUGCUCGGAAUCACUGGGCGUAAAGCGCACGUAGGCGGACUCUUAAGUCGGUGGUGAAAUCCUGGAGCUCAACUCCAGAACUGCCUUCGAUACUGAGAGUCUUGAGUCCGGGAGAGGUGAGUGGAACUGCGAGUGUAGAGGUGAAAUUCGUAGAUAUUUGGAGGAAUACCUGAGGCGAAGGCGGCCUUCUGGACCAUUCUUGACACUGAGACGCGAAAGCGUGGGUAGCAAACAGG
rnacentral:rRNA from 1 species